UACGUAGGGUGCAAGCGUUAAUCGGAAUUACUGGGCGUAAAGCGUGCGCAGGCGAUUUUGUAAGUCUGUCGUGAAAUCCCCGGGCUCAACCUGGGAAUUGCGAUGGAGACUGCAAGGCUAGAAUCUGGCAGAGGGGGGGUAGAAUUCCACGUGUAGCAGUGAAAUGCGUAGAGAUGUGGAGGAAUACCGAUGGCGAAGGCAGCCCCCCUGGGAUAACACUGACGCUCAUGCACGAAAGCGUGGGGAGCAAACAGG
rnacentral:rRNA from 1 species